UACGGAGGGUGCUAGCGUUGUCCGGAAUUACUGGGCGUAAAGCGCUCGUAGGCGGAUUGAUCAGUCAGAGGUGAAAGCCCGGGGCUCAACCCCGGAAUUGCCUUUGAUACUGUCAGUCUAGAGUCCGAGAGAGGUGAGUGGAAUUCCUAGUGUAGAGGUGAAAUUCGUAGAUAUUAGGAAGAACACCAGUGGCGAAGGCGGCUCACUGGCUCGGUACUGACGCUGAGGAGCGAAAGCGUGGGGAGCAAACAGG
rnacentral:rRNA from 1 species